GAAAGUGGAUCGGAGCUGUAAUACUGGUGCCUGGAGAAGUGUUUUACUCGCUCUCACCUCAUCUCCAGCUCUCACUCUGAACUACCUGCUUCUGUUUCCUCAAGACCACCGUUCACAAAGGUGUGGUUUUGCUGCGGGUCAUUGUCACACUGACAUCGUGUCUGCAGGUCAAUUACUGGCUGCGGAGCUCCGUCAGAUGGUUGUAGCACAACUACAACCCCAAUCACUCAGAAACCCAGACGCUGAACAUCUGCUGAACAUCCUGCUGUACACUGGAAACCAGAUUUUUCUUUUUCAUCAAGAGCACCGCUUGGAGACAACGGAUAACUUUGUCAGGAAUCUGUAGAGCUGGAAUCACACAUGACUGUUGCUGGGGCUGUUGAAUGCAAUUGCAUGUGAAUGAAAGCAAACUGAGCAAUAUGGAUACAGUGUCUCUGAACACCUCCUUGUUCUCUGGCAGUCAGAGCAUCAGUAUGGAUUCUCCCAAUUUGUCCAUGAGAUCCGUAGGCUUCACCAAUGACACGGAUUCGUCCCGCAGCAGCACACUCUUACACUGGAACUUCUUCCUGGCCGCCAACUACAUCAGUGUGGGCAAUUGUCAGAGGCCCGUUGAAACGACAAGCGCGAAAGCAAACAAAAGCACAGGCUCCAUUCAUCAUCAUCACCUGCUGACAGAACAUCUCACUGCUACAGACUCCCUGCGGCCCGUAGGGCACUCAUGCAUCGAUCACUCACCAGGCUCCAGGACACUUCCUGUUAGGACAUAUCCUUGUCAUACUUUCAGGUUUUGGUGCAUAUUGUACAUCACACAUUAAGUAAAGCUCCUUUCACAAGAAACAAGGUAGUCUAUUUGUUUUUUUUUUUGGUCUUUGUGAGUAUGUUUUCAUUCAAAUCUGAAGUAUUUUAAUCUGAUGCAUUCAGAUUCCUACUCUAAUUAUCCAACAGAGGGCAGAAUUAGUCCUUUUGUGGUUGUGGUUGUGUUCAGAAGGGCUCAUUAAAUUUGCAUUUGACCAAAUGUGCAGCACACAACAGAGCACCGGUUUAGAUACUGUUUCCCACAAUGCAAUGUGCUCAACAGAUUUUAACUGUUUCUUGACUCCUUAUUUGAAUCCUAAAAAUGUUUAUAAUAACUAUUUAUAUACUUUCUGGAAUGAUGUGGAUUUGAUGUGGUUCACUGAAUUAAACCUGCAGUGUAACAAAGUCAUGCUUAGAGUUUCACACCUUUGUGGGACAUUUGAACAAAUUGGAGAAAAAUGACUUGACUCAUUAAGAAUGACCUCACUGAAGAAAAAAAAAAAGUACAUAAAUAAACAUGUACUGCGUUAGACUAACCGGGACUUGUCACAGUACUUAUUUAUUGUUGCCCUUUUGUUAAAAAAAUAAAAGCAUCUACAAAAUGACUAAAUGUAAAUUCUCUGAAAUUAGUAAAUUUCACAAAUAAUUACCAAGAAACAGCAAGUAACACAUUGAAUUAAAUAUGAAAUUUUAGCAAGACUGAAUUUGUAUUUUCUUGUCAAAUUUAAGCCAAUAAUCGUUAUUUCAUUUACAACUUCAUAUUUAUUUAUUUUUUUUACAGUGUUGGAUUGCUGAGAAUCUUCCCAUUUAUCUAGUUACUAAUCAUAUUUAAUUACAAUAUUUUGCCUUGAAUUCUUAUAAAAAUCUCUAAAACUACUAGUAUAGUGUCUGCAGUGAUCAGCAACAAAAUGUAUGACUUGUUACUGAAUCUUUCAUUUUGUCUGACACCUACAGCUUCUAGCAGGUUUUCAAGGGCAGGUUUUCCUUGUUAAAUAAUUAGAUGCUGUCCCUCAUUUAUCAUCCAGCUGUGGACUGGUUUGCACACGUCCCUCAUGGAUCAGUAUAAUCAGCUGGACCUUGUUAUUUCUUUCCCUCUCUGUGAUUCUGCCUGGGUUUGUGUUUUUUACAGAGGACCAUCUUCACAUUGAUGGGCUUGAUUACACACAAAAUAAUUUUGCUGGCUUCCAUAAUCAGGCUUUGAUGGUUAUUUAUGUAGCAUACAGCCUGAAUAACCACAAAGCUAAAGUAGGCCACUGAUUUUCCCGAGAACACCUCCCCUUCCCCCGCAGUAUUAUAAAAAUAAAACACUACUAUCUGGAACAUCACAUAUUAAUAUUAAACAACUUGUACUUUUGUAUGCUACUCUUCAAAAGUUUGGGGUUGGAAAGAUAGAAGUAUAGAUGUUUAUAUAUUGAUUUGUUUUUUAAAGAAGUCUCUUAUGUUCACCAAGGCUGCAAUUAUUUGAUCAAAAAUACAGUGAGAACAGUAAAACUGUGAAAUAUUAUUACAAUUUAAAACAACUGCUUUAUAUAUUAAUAUAUAUUUUGAAGUGUAAUUUAUUUCUGUGAUCAUAUCUGAAUUUUCAGCAGCAUUACUCCAGUCUUCAGUGUCACAUGAUCUUCAGAAAUCAUUCUAAUAUGAAGAUUUGCUGCUUAAAAACAUUUCUUAUUAUUCAGGUUGUUAAUUAUAAACAUAUCGGCAAACAAAUAAGUUAUUCAACAAGAUUCUAAUCAAACUGUUUCUUCACCAUGAUGGUAGUUCAAAGACAAUAAGCUAAACGCUAAUUCUUUUUUACAAUUAAUGUACUUUGUUGUGUGUUUUUGUCAUUUUAUUAGUUUUUUAUUAUUCUUCUCCUUAUUUAUUUUAGUUAUUUUUCGUACAUGAAGUUAAACUAAAUGAAAAUGCUGCAUCUAGCUGAAAUGAACUAAGUUUAAGAUGUUUUUUAUGAUUUUUAAGAUUUUUUUAUGUGUCUGGCCGUUGUCUUUGCACAGACAUCAGCAAUAAUAUAAUGGAAAUGAAAGAGUUUUACUGCUGACUGCUCACUAAAGUAAUGUCAGCUCAUCUGACUUGGUUGUCCUUUAGAGAAGCUAUUUCAGGAUAAAGUCGCAGAAAAUACAAAUUGAAUUUUCUGAAAAACACCGACUUCACAGUUUAUAGUUUUGCACAUCUGUGGCAAAGACCUUCUCAUUUAUGUGUUGUUUGGAUCCGCUUCACUGACUCUUCUCUAAAGUCACCAUGCUCGUCAUUCAGUUGUUUUUGUUUGUUUCACGUCUUCAGAGCAUGCAGAUGUUGAGCUGGACCCUGCUAGAAGAUUUUGAACUGCAUUCCUCUUAAUACUAAGAAAGAAGACCGUAAUUGGGCUUAUUUGCAUGUGGUUGAAUCUUUGGCAGUGUCAGGGAUCUCGACUUUUGAAAGUUUUUAAAAUGAAAUCUCUUAAGUGAGACUGUAAAGUUUGUAGUCGAGCACAGACGACCUGAAGUACUCUUGUUCUGUCAGCUAACAGAAGUGCUGUGGAGUCAGGCUUGGAUUUGAUUGGGGGUUUGACACAACAUCGAUCGCUCGAUUUGAUCCAUGGACAUUAAGGGCUGCUUAAGAAUAAGAGUGCACAUCAAAAGAUCUUGACUCAUUGAACCUGGAUCGAAUUAGUGAGAUUGUGUGAACUUAAAUGUUUAAUCCCUGCUUGUCUUUAUGUUUUUUAUGAAACAGCCCCCUGGUUCUUUGUCUGGUGUUAUUCCUAAAUGGCUGUUUUGUGUGCCCUUGGUCUACCUGGAUGUAUUUUGUGUUUUGUUGUAUAAACCAAAAGAACUGCAUUUGGAUCCUCUUCACCUCCUUCAUCGACCAUACAUUACACCUUCACUGUAAAAAUGUAAUAAUAAUAAUAAUAAUAAUAAUAAUAAUUAUUAUUAUUAUUAUAAUAAAUACAAAUUUAAUUAAAACAAAUAAAUUAAUAAAGCAUUUCUAAUUAAAUAAUGUUCGAUCAACAAACUACACUGAGUUAAAAGGACUUAAUAAUUUGUAGUGAAAACACAUUAAGUUGAUUACACACACACACACACACACACACACACACACACACACACACCAACACACACACACACACACACACACACACACACACACACACACCCACCCACACAAAUAUGUUUUUCUUUUUCCAAAAAAUUUGAACAUAAUUGAGUUGUUCAAAAUUCAGUUAAAAAUAACAGCUAGCUAAACUGACUUUUUACCCUUUUACUUAAAAAAAUAAAAAUAAAAUAAAUAAGAAACACUUAAUUUGAACAUUUAUCCUCUCUAUCCA
rnacentral:lncRNA from 1 species